rnacentral:lncRNA from 1 species
GCAUGGUGGGGAGGCUGAGCUCGGAGCUCAAGGGGAUCAACCUGGUGUUCUCUAACCCGUAUUACAUCACGAUGCACAUCCUUCGGAGGCCCGCUUCCUACGGUGAGUCCUCUUUUAAUCAGCUCCAUCCUUCGUAUAUCUACGUAUUAUUUCGUGUAGUCAGCAUCUCGGGCAGGCUGGCGUGUGCCAUAAAAAGCACUACUCACGUUUCAAGAAAAAGAAUUCGUUUAAGCUUGAUUGAAUAGACUCAAAAGCGGAAUAUUACUAAAAAAAGUCAUUUAUCUAUUUUAAUUAUGUAAAUCCAGUACUAAAUUUUUUUUUUGUCAAUUCAAUUCUAAACAUUUUGUGAUUGUGUCAAUUCAAUUCAUCUCGGCUGACGCUAACGUGAAUAAUUUUCAAUAAUAAUUUAUUUAUUUUAAAUUUUUUAUUCUUUUUUCCUUUCUUCCUUCUUUUCCCUUUUUUUCCCCAUUGUGCCAAGAAGGCUUGCCAGCCUCGCCAUGGUCUCCCAAGCCUUGGGCGAAGGCGUCCUCACCACCUAGAUCUAGGCAAAGCCACCUUGCUCACGGUCCCUAGGCCUCGCCUAGAUCAACGUUCAUAUUAGUAUUAACUGGCUAAAAUUGGCCGGAUGAACUAAAUUAUUUUAGAAUGGAAUUGACAUAAUUACAAUAGAUUUGAGACUUUCUUUUUUUUGUGGUAAUUUUCCCCUAAAAAUCUAAUAAAGGCUGCUGACUAUUCAUCUCAUCCUUCUUCCCUGCCGGUAGGAGAUUCGUAGGGACCCACAUGAAUCCGGCAUUAAAACAAGUCACGGGAUACGAGUGGUGAGGAUGGGACCUAGAGAUGUACCAUGUAGGCAUGCUGGUUUUUAAUGUAUGGCGUGGCUCUUGUGCUAGGUAGACAUCGACUCCGGAGGGAUUCUAAGACGUUUACACGAACAAGGUCUCGAUAUAAGUAUAGACAAUAUCGCAUGAUCUUGGUCUAGAAAAGCUCAAACUGAUUUCGAAUCUUCAUCUCAUUUAGGAUACGAAUAGAGUAAAAUUUUUACAUCGUGUUAGUUCUGUUGUUCCGACAUGAUUUCCCCACGUUCUUGGAUGUUUGUAGGGUUCGAGUCUACGUCGGUCGCGUGCUGUUCGACGGGAUUGUUCGAGAUGGGAUACGCGUGCCAGCAAAACAACCCUUUCACGUGCCAGGACGCGAACAAGUACGUGUUCUGGGACGCUUUCCAUCCCACCGAGAGGACCAGCCGCAUCGUCGCCGAUUACGUCAUGAGGACAGUCUUGGCUAGAUUCGUUUGAUCGCUGCCCCGCUACCUGCGGAUCCAUAUACAAUACCAUAUCGUAUGGUCUACGUGUAAUACGGUCUUUGUCAUUUUGUAGAGUCUACAUGCUCUCAGUGACUAUGUCUACGUGAUCUUGUGUAUAAUGUAAGUACUCGCGCGAGCGCUAUUGGGCGUAAUGCUUUGUAGUAGAAUUAUACGGUGCGAGCUUUUACUUAUUAAUUUCACAUCUUUCCUAUGUUGUUUUGAAUAUUAUUUUUGCUAUUUGAUAUCAAUGCAAUAUGUUUAAAAAAAAAUUGUACUUUUCUCAUAUAUUUUUAAUUCAUUUAUUUCUUGAGUUCUUGUAUCUCUUGAGUUCAUGUAUCUCUUGAAUACAUGCAUCUCUUGAGUUAAUAUAUCUCUUUAGUACAUGACUUCUCAAUCUCCAUAAAUUGAUACGAACUGUUCUUCAUUUGAACUAGAACAAGAAGAAGAAAAACCUCACAUCUCUUCACUUCAAUCUUCUUCGAUUGUGCUGAUUUGAGAAUUAUUCGAUGGAGUCCUAUUUGCAUAAUGUUAAUUCAAAUAGGUUUGUAGUGUUGUAUCUUGGAAGGCAUAAUUCGUAAAGCUACUUAACACCGUUUGCAGAAACUAAUCAACUUAAGGAGAUUUAGUUAGCUAUACCUUACACCAAUCAAUUUUACUUGUAAAGAUUAUAUAUAUAUAUAUAUAUAUAUUGACUUGGUCGUCAUUAUUAAUUUGUUAUCACUUUCGGCUUUAAUCACGGUAAACAGUGCGGAGUUGCAAACAUAUUUCCAACACCAUUGAUGGCCAAAUCAAGGGACCUCCUUUUUUGGUGGAAAACUUUCAAUGCUCUCAAUUAGGGAAAAGUGUAAAAAAAAAACUAUAAACCUUUUGUAUUUGUGUUAAUUUAGUUUUGAACCUUUUAUUGGUACCACUUUAAUAUUAAGUAUUUUUACUUGGUGCCAAUUUAGUCAUUCCCGGCUAAUUUUAUUGACUGAACGUAGAUCGGCUAACAUGACACGAUUGGCAUUGACCCAGACAACUUAUAAUAAUAUUUUAAUAUUUUUCGAUUUUUAUGUUUUAUUUUAUUUUAUUUUUCCUUUUCUUUUUCUUUUUUCUUCUCCUCUCCCUUCCAUCGGCCGAUCACUAGACCUUGGCAAUAAGCCAAAGGCAACACCCAACGAGGUCAAGGUGGACCUUGCCGGCCACUAGCGAGGCUAGAGCCCUCGCCAAAGGUUGCAAGGGUUGCUCACACUAGGUGAUGAGGCUCGCCCUCGCCGGAUUUGGUGAGGGUCAAGCCUCAUUGGCCAUGGGCGAGGCUAGCUCAAGGCUGCCCAGGCCAUGGCGGCUUGCGUUGGGCUAGUGAGGCAUGACCUUGCUAGAUCCGACGGGGUUGAGCCUCUCCUGGCCACUAGUGAGGCUUACCAGAGGCCGAUGAGGUUGAGGUUGAUCUCAUCAACCAUCGCCAAGGUCCGGCGACCGGCUAGAGGAACGAGGAGAAGAAGGAAAAAAAUAUAUAUAAUUCGAAAUUCGAAAUUUUUUUAAAUAUUAUUAAAAGUUAUUCACGUUAGCACCGGCUAUGCCAUGUCAGUUGACCGGUGUCUAACCAAUAAAAUCCCAUCAAAAUUAGCUAGAAUGACUAAAUUGGCACCAAAUCAAAGGAUUUAGGAAAAAAUUGACACCAAUAAAAGGUUUAGGAUUAAAUUUGCAUAAAUACAAAAAGGUUUAGGACUUUUCUUUUUGACACUUUUCCCCUCUCAAUUACAUUUGGAGUUUUUUCUUUUCAAGUGUUUCGCUAUCUUGGGCGGUUGCAACUACAUGUUGAUGUCAUUAAGUCUCCUCUGUCUCUCUGUCUCUCUGUCUCUCUCUCUCGCUCUCGCUCUCGCUCCAGUUAUCUUGCUCCAGAUAUCUUUUUGUGGACUUUGAGGCCAAUGUUAAUGUUCUCUUUCGGUAGAGCGGUUGGGCAAGUCACUUUGUCUUCUAUGGUUUUUCCACUUUCAUAAUUGCGAGUCAUUAAAUAACCUUGACGACGCCCAUCGUUGGAUCGUCGCAUUGAAAAAGUAUCAGGAGAGUGCAUUUUUUGUCAAACACGCAUGAGUAGUUCCUUUCGCGACUUGAUGAGGUUGAUUUCUGCAUCAAUGGCCUCAUUCUUUACUCGAAGAGUAAAUACGAUGAUGUUUGAUCGCUGAUGAAACUGUUCGAUGGGGGUCCUAAAACCAGCCUUGCCUUUUCUUGUUGGAUUUGAUGAUGCACAGCUGCUCUUCUUCUUUAUAUCAUUUCGGUGUCCGGACAAACCCUAGAAACAUCCCCCAAAAUGACGUGCCACUUUAGCACAAAAUCAAACUCUCUCAGGCCCGACCAAUAAUUCAUGCCAAGUACAAUCCAACCGGUCCACAUUUGACAAUUUCAACGACCUCCUCCAACUAAAAAUCCCGCCCGGCAUCUCUUAUUUAUGACAAGCCCCCUCGACACGACGCCCUCCAAUCUCCCCUCGAGCACCAUACACAGCAGAAAUUAUUAACGAGAAAUGGCCCUCGUCAAGUACGGCGCCGCGCUGUUCCUGCAUCUCCUCUGUUUGGUCACGACAGCAAGCGCCGAAGUCCCGGCGAUAAUCGUGUUUGGAGAUUCCACGGUCGACGCAGGGAACAACAACUACAUCCCAACGAUCGCCAGGAGCAACUUCGAGCCCUAUGGCCGGGACUUUGACGGCAAAAAGCCGACCGGGAGGUUCUCGAAUGGGAGGAUCACAUCGGAUUUCAUUGCGGAGGCCUUCAAGAUCAAGCCGAGCAUUCCCGCGUACUUGGACACGGCUUAUGAAAUAUCGGAUUUCGCCACCGGAGUGACCUUUGCCUCUGCGGGGACGGGUUAUGACAACGCGACAUCCGACGUGCUCGUGAGUCUCUCUUCUUAAGAUACCAUAUGUGGCUAGAUCGAAGCAUCUUGAGAGACCUUUUUUCUUCUUCUUUUUCAACCCUAUUAUUUCAGACAACGAAGAACUGCAAUUUCAAGAUAUUAGGCUAAGCGUUUUUUCGAAGUGACGUUAUCGUAAUCAUAUGUUCAUGUUUGCUUUGCAAGUCUGUGAUACCCCUGUGGAAGGAACUCGAGUACUACAAGGAAUACCAAGAAAAGCUAAGAUCGUACCUCGGACCGAGCUCCGCGAACCAAGUGCUUACCGAGGCGCUCUACAUGAUCAGCAUGGGCACGAACGACUUCCUCGAGAACUACUACACGUUGCCGGACCGCCGCUCGCAGUUCACCGUGACAAAGUACGAGGACUUCCUCAUCGGGAUCGCGGAGAAGUUCGUGAGGGACCUCUACGGCCUCGGGGCGCGCAAGAUAUCGCUGGGGGGCUUGCCACCGAUGGGGUGCCUGCCACUCGAGAGGACGACGAACGUGAUGGAGCAGAACCAGUGCGUGGAUAGCUACAACGACGUGGCCUUGGAGUUCAACGCGAAGCUGAAGGGCAUGGUGGGGAGGCUGAGCUCGGAGCUCCCGGGGAUCAACCUGGUGUUCUCUAACCCGUAUUACAUCAUGAUGCACAUCCUUCGGAAGCCCGCUUCCUAUGGUGAGUCCUCUAUAAUCAGCUCCAUCCUUCGUAUAUCUACGUAUUAUUUCGUGUAGUCAGCAUCUCGGGCAGGCUGUCGUGUGCCAUAAAAAGCAUUACUCAGGUUUUAAGAAAAAGAAUUCGUUUAAGGUUGACUGAGUAGACUAAAAAAUAAGGAGAAUUACAAAAAAAAUAAAAUAAAAUAAAAUAAAAUUUAAACCUAUUGUAAUUGCAUCAAUUCAGUUCUAAACUCUUUUUUUUAUCAAUUCGAUUCUAAACAUAUUGUACCAAUUCAAUUCGUCUUAACAUAAAUAAUUUUUAAUAAUAUUUUAUUUUAUUUCAAUUUCUUAUUCUCUUUUUUUCCCUAGUUUCAAGGAGGCUCACAAGCCCUCGCCCAAGCCUCACCCAGAUUUGGGCAAGACUAGCCUCACCAUGGCCUCCCCAACCUAGGGCGAAGGUGGCCUCACCACCCAUAUUUGGGAGAAGCUGCCUUGCCCAUGGCCCCUAGGCCUUGUCUAGAUCGGCGUUUACGUUAGCGUCGGCCAGUCAAAAUUGGUUGAAUGAACUAAAUUGACACAAUUAAAAAAUAUUUAGGAUUAAUGGACAUAAUUACAAUCGGUUUAUGACUUUUUCUCUAAUUUUUCUAUGAAAAUCUAAUAAAAGCCGCCGACUACUCAUCUCGUCCUUCUUCCCUGCUGUGGGAGAUUCGUUGGGACACACACGAACCCGGCAUUAAAAACAAUUCACGGGACACAAGUGGUGAGGAUGGGACCUAAAGAUGUACCAUGUUUUUCUUUUUAUGGCCGAUAAAGAUGUACUGUGUUGGCAUGCUGUUUUUAAUGUAUCUCUUGUGCUAGGUUGAUACUUAUAUCAUCUUUCGUCAUCGACUAGGGGGGAAUUCUAAUUCUACACGAACAAGGUCUCGAUAUAAGUAUAGACAAUAUCGCGUGAUCCUGGUCUAGAAAAGCUCAAACUGAUUUCGAAUCUUCAUCUCAUUUAGGAUGCGAGUAGAGUAAGUUUUAUGUUGUGUUCGUUCUGCUGUUCCGACACGACUUCCCCAUGUUCUUGGAUGUUUGUAG